UGAGGAGCUUGCUCCUCUGAUUUAGCGGCGGACGGGUGAGUAACACGUGGGUAAUCUGCCUGUAAGACGGGGAUAACUCCGGGAAACCGGGGCUAAUACCGGAUAAUAAGAGAAGAAGCAUUUCUUCUUUUUGAAAGUCGGCCUCUCGCUGACACUUACAGAUGAGCCCGCGGCGCAUUAGCUAGUUGGUGAGGUAACGGCUCACCAAGGCGACGAUGCGUAGCCGACCUGAGAGGGUGAUCGGCCACACUGGGACUGAGACACGGCCCAGACUCCUACGGGAGGCAGCAGUAGGGAAUCUUCGGCAAUGGGCGAAAGCCUGACCGAGCAACGCCGCGUGAGCGAUGAAGGCCUUCGGGUCGUAAAGCUCUGUUGUUAGAGAAGAACAAGUACGAGAGUAACUGCUCGUACCUUGACGGUACCUAACCAGAAAGCCACGGCUAACUACGUGCC
rnacentral:rRNA from 1 species